GAUGAACGCUGGCGGCGUGCCUAACACAUGCAAGUCGAACGUUAGGAGAUAGCAAUAUCUCCAAAAGUGGCGAACGGGUGAGUAACACGUGGGUAAUCUGCCGCGCAGAGGGGGAUAACGACUGGAAACGGUCGCUAACACCGCAUGGUACUAUUUUGACGGGAGUCUGAAUGGUUAAAACCUUGGUGCUGCGCGAGGAGCCUGCGUCCGAUUAGUUAGUUGGUGGGGUAAUGGCUCACCAAGGCGAUGAUCGGUAGCUGGUCUGAGAGGAUGAUCAGUCACACGGGAACUGAGACACGGUCCCGACUCCUACGGGGGGCAGCAGUGAGGAAUAUUGCACAAUGGACGCAAGUCUGAUGCAGCAACGCCGCGUGGAGGAUGAAGGUUUUCGGAUCGUAAACUCCUUUUCUUGGGGAAGAGCAAGGACGGUACCCAAGGAAUAAGUCACGGCUAACUACGUG
rnacentral:rRNA from 1 species